UUCCUUUCUAAAAAAUAUGGAGCACUUUACAAAUUUGCAUGUCAUCCCCCCCCACACACACGCAGGGGCCAUGCUAAUCUUCUGUAUGUCAUUCCAGAAAUCUGCACUUAAAAAAAAAAUUAUGGAAGAUCUAUCAACAGAAUCAACCACUCUGUUGUAUCUGAGUAGUGCACAAAUACACAGUUCAGAUUUUUUUAAUGUGCUAUCCUUAUUUAAAAAAAAAAUUUAAAUCCCCGUACAAUUAACAAUCAGCGUUAUAUGAGUUUCAGGUGUCACACUAUCUUUUGUUUUUUAAGGAAAAGAGAAGGAGUCUUAGGUCUAUUUUUUUUUUCAAGAAUUAAAAAGUAGUUUGCAAGUGGAAGGUUUCCUCUUACUUCUAAUAGGCCGAUUAGAAUGUCACCUAAUGAUACUUACCACAGAGUGGGUUUUCCAGAGGCAGAUACUGAAAUGAAGUCUGGGGUCCACGAUGUCUACUAGGCAUCAACAGCAGUGAAAGCAUGUGGGAAGAACUGGGUAGAGGGGAAGAAGAGCUGCAGGCCUCACAAAGCCCCCAGACUGGUGGGCAGCUAUAGAGGAAGCAGGGCCUAUUAAAGUUGUGCCUCAGUGGCCUGAAAUGCUGGGCCCUCAUACCCUACUUGCAGAUGCACGCUGCCCACGAUGGGCAUGAUCUCAGCCCCAGCUGCUGUUUGCGACCCACAGGCCCUGAAGGGGGGCCAGCAGCUGGGAGCCGUGUGGCGAUGGACUGCCCCAUAGCUGAAGAGUGGAUCUUCCUCGAGGCGGGGAUGGGAGGCCCAUCUCUGGGUCUACCUUCCCAGGGACUUGUGAUAGUUAAAGGCAAAAAAGCACGUAUCUCAUUAUGGAGAAACACAUUUGGUAAACUGAUCAUGGGAUUGGCUGUGCCGUGCUCAAAAAUUAUUUUCACAUCCACACCUCCAUGUACUUGGAAACAUCCUCUUGUCAACCUGCUGACUUUGUCUCCUUUGGCUUUGGAUCUUGACUCCACCUCUCUGCUUAACCCCUCUGAUUCACCACUUCAGUGUGGGCUGUUGCAAAACUGCUCGCAGUCACCUCACCCAAACAGGAGGUAGAAAGCCGCAGAUGACCAGACAGGUUCUGGAGCAUCCCCCUCCCCACCGCCCAGGGCCCCAGCUGUCAGGAACAGGCUGUUGGAUGUGCACCGCUCCAAGGCCCGGCAAGUCUGAGAACUGAGCAAAGCCAAAGCAAGUGUGCCCUCAGUUGGAAGUGGCUCCAGAGGUCACUGAGCCAACCACCCAUUCACCAGUUGUUUCUGCUUGCAACCCUGAUCUUCCUGAGGGGGACACACACCCCCUUUCCCAGGUCACAUGGGUCAGUGAGGCUGACCAACCCUGAAGGCCACAGAGGUGGGCCUCUGGCUCAGGUCUGGCCAGUCAGACGGUCUGGAUGCAGCAACUCGACCCCGCCAGGGCAAUAAAACUCUCUUCCAAGACUCAUUAUUGAAAGGGGUGCUUUCUACCUGUGGGCAACGCUCUGUGGAAGGGCACGUGAAACCCCAAUUCAGCCCUGCCUGAAAUGGACAUUCUGGCCGCAGGAGCUGGCAGGUUCCUUUCUAUGGCUCAACUGGUUUGUAAUGGGAUUUUCCUUUUGCACCCAAAAGGGUCUGAGCUACUACAAAACCUAUCAGAGUCUCCUUACCAAGUGUGGGUGCAGUUGAUUGAUGGGAGAACUUACCACUUGCGCUUGUACCAAAUAAAAAAGCCUCCUUGUACGUUCACCCUUCACUUUGCCCCACGGGGCUGUGUCAGGCAGAGGCAUUCAUCAAACGCUGUACCUACGUUGGUGCUUCUCACACUUGGCAGCACAUCAGAAAUCAGCUGGGAAACUGAAAAUUGGAGAUUGCUGGGCUGCACCAUGGGGCCACAGAAUCAGAAUUUCUGGGUGUAUUUUUAAAAAGCUUCGUAGACAGUUUUAAGCUCUGAUUUAAAAGUCACUGGUCUCCUAACGCCACAUAAUUGUUCUAUUAAAUGUAAUAAACUGGCCCCGUUGAAAUACAGCCACGUGCAUGCCUCUACGUUUGUGUCACAUUUUCUACAGAUCUGGUCCUUACGCUCAACAAGGAAACCUGGAAGCUUCCGAAAGAAACAGCAGCAGCUCUGGUGGAGCAAAAUCGGAGUGGACGAACGUGAAGACGUGGAUUUACCAUGAAACUAAUAAAGCUUACGUUUCAUAGCUCCUCAUGCGAAGCACUUGUAAAUGCUUGCACGGCCCUACGUUCUUGUAAAAUGUAUAGGAGUACGAUGUUUUCACCACAAACGGCAGAGGCCACGGACUCCUUCCCACUGCGGCUCCUCCUCAACCAUAGCUCUCCCUGUGUUAGGUCGUGGAGGAGGAGCCAUCGGGGCAUUUGGGAUCAUGACUCAGGAAAUAGAUGGGGUUACAUAUAGUUUUGGUUUAGUGGGAUAUUUAUGUGGUUCACAGACUCUUCUGGGUAUGGUUUAGUUAUUGCCAGCUGCCCUGGGGCAAGAAGGACUGUUGGUAAUGGUCCUACCACCCACUCCUCCGACACAGUCCACCUUGAUAAGUGAAGGUACAGGGUCUGCCCUGACCCUCAUAAUACGCCACAACAUUAGGGACACUGAAGACAAGCUGGUCCAUGAGUGUUAUCAAUUCACAAAGUACCUAAGAUCAGCUUCUGCAACGGCAAACCUCUGAAAUGCCUUGAAAUCCUACAGUUUGUCUAUGACAGACGCUCAAGAGUUUUCCUAAAAUUGAUUAAGAAUCCUAAAAAUGUACCCAUAAUAAUUUGUGAGGCCAAAAGAAAUCUUCCCACACAAUCAAUAAUAAAAAACAUCAUUUCACCCGUAGCAACAAGACAAAACAAAAAAACAUCGUUUCGUCCACCAUGAUGAUUCACCACCCAUCCAUUACUGGACCAACCCAAUCAGAGGAAAGUCUGAUUUCUCCUUUUAUUCUCUCAGGAGAAAGCAGGACAAAAUCACUGUUGCAAGGAUAGGCAAUCAAGCAUACACAGACAGUAAUUUUAGUGAGCAAUGUAUCAGAUAGCUAAAUAUGAAAUACGUUAUUUUCUAAAUUUUGAGAUCCUUCCAGAGUUUGUCAGCUUUAAGUAUUGUGCUGUUACAGUGGUCACUUACAUGAUGAUUCUAAGUGAAUAUUUAAUUUUGCAUCUAAUAAUUUGAAUUAUUUAUAAAGGGCCUCCAAAUCUGUCAAAGCUUCAGGCCCCUAGAUAUUCCCCUGGUGUGACAUGAGCACCCUGCCCCUGCGCGCUGGUAGCGGUUGGGAUAAAGCCUCAUGGAUCUGCCCUUUACGGCUGCCUGAGUCUCCCGAAAACCAAAUCUGCUUAUUAUUAAGUCAGCAAAUGUGCCGCUGAUGGAUUUAAUGACUCUGUAGGAAUGAGUCAGUAAUGACUCUGAAGGAAUCUGUGUGGCCAGACGGAUAAAUUAUACAUCAUUUAAAGCUUUCUGAACGCUUAGUGUUUUGGAAGAAGCCAUUCUUUAAAAGAAAUUAGGAAGGAGAAUGUAUCAUGGCCAGGGAGAGAAAGAGAUAAACAACCAAUAUGAUUAAUCAUGCUGGAUGAAAGGUAAUUUAGCUCUUAUUCUGCUCUAUAGGAAACACUCCAAAUCAUCGUCACUCGAAGGGGUGAUUAAGUAGAUCUCAUCUAACCAAUCUCGUCUGGCCUGGCUCAAUAUAACUUCAGCACCCAUUUGCUCUUCUUCAGCAAGGGCAUUGCUGCAAAUAGGAUGGCAGGCAGGUUCAUACAUACAGCACAUGGAAGAAAUGGCCGAGUUUCGUUACUACAGACACCCCAGGUUUCCACGCAUGCUGACGGUCAGCCCCAGCUUUAGCUCCUCAUACGCGUGAAAGCAGAAGUCAGCUCGUGUGUUGCCUGUCCAAAGCAUCUUAUUUCCUGCACCACUAUGAACAAACUUAAUAUUUACAAUAAAGCAUUUAAAAACUGGUCAUUUAAAGUCUCUGCUCUAGGGGAUCCCUGGGUGGCUCAGCAGUUUAGCACCUGCUUUUGAUCCAGGGCCGAAAAGCAGUCCGUGGGACUCUAGGAUUGCGCCCCACGUGGGGCUCCCUGGAUGGAGCCUGCUUCUCCCUCUGCCUAUGUCUCUGCCCACCCCCCACCGUCUCUCUCAUAGAUAAAUAAAUAAAAAUAAAAUCUUUAAAAAGAAAAAUAAAAUAAAGUCUCUGCUCUGGUCAUACCUUAGAUGCAUGGGACAUUAACAAAGUUUACUAAAAAAAAAAAAAAAAAAAA
rnacentral:lncRNA from 1 species